rnacentral:lncRNA from 1 species
UAUAUAUAUUAAAAAAUAUAUAAAUAUAAUAUAUUUUAAUUAUAUAUAGGCUGAGUGAAUAAUCUGAGUUUAGUUAAAAUUAGGCUAAUGUUGUUGGCCUAUAAAAACAAACUUAAUAGACGAAUAAAAGAGCGAAAUUUCACUUAAUUUAUACAUUUUUUCUUUCUUUCUUUCUUUUACGGGAACUUAAAUUUUCAAUAUAUU